UUCCGGUUGAUCCCGCCAGACCUGACUGCUAUCGGAUUGAUACUAAGCCAUGCGAGUCUUUGUAGUAAUACAAGGCAGACGGCUCAGUAACACGUAGUCAACCUACCCUAUGGACGAGAAUAAUCUCGGGAAACUGAGCAUAAUUCUUGAUAGAUCAUAAUGCCUGGAAUGGUUUAUGGUUAAAAUGAUUCGUCGCCAUAGGAUGGGACUGCGGCCUAUCAGCUUGUUGGUGAGGUAAUGGCCCACCAAGGCGAUUACAGGUACGGGCUCUGAGAGGAGAAGCCCGGAGAUGGGUACUGAGACACGGACCCAGGCCCUAUGGGACGCAGCAGGCGAGAAAACUUUGCAAUGUGCGAAAGCACGACAAGGUUAAUCCGAGUGAUUUCUGCUAAAGAAAUCUUUUGCCAGUCGUAAAACCGCUGGUGAAUAAGGGGUGGGCAAGUUCUGGUGCCAGCAGCCGCGGUAAU
rnacentral:rRNA from 1 species